UGAACGGAGCUGUUUCGGUUGUUCUUUUGUUGCUUGUUUGAUAGUGUUCAGUUUUACCAUUAAAAUGAUGAACACUUACCACCUUGGUCCUCACCUUCUUCCACCAACGGCCGUUACAGGAGUAUUCAGUUGAUACUGGACAUUUACAAGUAAUAUACUUGGAAGCGGUGAGUUGGGUUCGCGCCUCUGAAGUCUGACCAGAAGACCGCUCCGUCUACCUCUUCUCCUGCAGCAUGGUUUUGGGUCAUUCUCUCGAAUCAGGUCAAAUGUCCUGGGUGGUUUGGACAGGAUCCACUUCGGGAAAGUCAUUAUCCAUGUGAUUUGGACAGCCGAUCAUUAACACUGUCCCGCCCACCAGUUGUCUCACUGUACAGAGAGUUAUAGUCUGGCUUCAACACACCUCAAGGCAUCAGCAAUGUAAAUCCAGCUAACUCAAAUGGCUGUUGGUCCACAC
ensembl:lncRNA